rnacentral:tRNA from 1 species
ACGUCCAUCGUCUAAUGGAUAGGGCAGAGGUCUUCUAAACCUUGGGUAUAGGUUCAAAUCCUAUUGGACGUA